UUCUGGGAGGAUUGACAGAUCGAGAGCUUUUUCUUGAUUUGGUGGAUGGUGGUGCAUGUCCUUUCUUCGUUGUCGGAGCGAUUUGUCUCGUUAAUUCCGAUAACGAACGAGACUCCAGCCUAUUAAAUAGGUGCGUGGUUCUCUGCACCUUGCACCCUCCUUAGAGGGACAAGCGGCUCCUAGCCGCACGAAACAGAGCAAUAACAGGUCUGUGAUGCCCUUAGAU
rnacentral:rRNA from 1 species